rnacentral:rRNA from 1 species
UACGUAGGGAGCAAGCGUUGUCCGGAAUCAUUGGGCGUAAAGCGCGCGUAGGUGGCUUCGUAAGUCCGUUGUGAAAGUCAAAGGCUCAACCUUUGAAAGCCGAUGGAUACUGUGAAGCUAGAGUACGGAAGAGGCGAGUGGAAUUCCUGGUGUAGCGGUGGAAUGCGCAGAUAUCAGGAGGAACACCAAUAGCGAAGGCAGCUCGCUGGGACGUUACUGACACUGAGGCGCGAAAGCGUGGGGAGCAAACAGG